rnacentral:rRNA from 1 species
GACGAACGCUAGCGGCGUGCUUAACACAUGCAAGUCGAACGGAAAGGCCUUUCGGGGUACUCGAGUGGCGAACGGGUGAGUAACACGUGGGUGAUCUGCCCUGCACCUUGGGAUAAGCCUGGGAAACUGGGUCUAAUACCGAAUAUGACCGCGCUCUUCAUGGGGUGUGGUGGAGAGCUUUUGCGGUGUGGGAUGGGCCCGCGGCCUAUCAGCUUGUUGGUGGGGUAAUGGCCUACCAAGGCGACGACGGGUAGCCGGCCGGAGAGGGUGACCGGCCACAAUGGGGCUGAGAUACGGCCCAGACUCAUACGGGAGGCAGCAGUGGGGAAUAUUGCACGAUGGGCGCAAGCCUGAUGCAGCGACGCCGCGUGAGGGAUGACGGCCUUCGGGUUGUAAACCUCUUUCAAUAGGGACGAAGCGCAAGUGACGGUACCUAUAGAAGAAGGACCGGCCAACUACGUGCCAGCCGCCGCCGUAACAC